rnacentral:rRNA from 1 species
UACGUAGGGGGCAAGCGUUGUCCGGAAUCAUUGGGGCGUAAAGAGCGUGUAGGCGGCUCGGUAAGUCCGCUGUGAAAGUCCAGGGCUCAACCCUGGAAUGCCGGUGGAAACUGUCGAGCUAGAGUCCGGAAGAGGCGAGUGGAAUUCCUGGUGUAGCGGUGAAAUGCGCAGAUAUCAGGAGGAACACCAAUGGCGAAGGCGGCUCAC